ACGAACGCUGGCGGCGUGCUUAACACAUGCAAGUCGCACGGAAAGGCCCUGCUUUUGUGGGGUGCUCGAGUGGCGAACGGGUGAGUAACACGUGAGUAUCCUGCCCUUGACUUUGGGAUAACUUCAGGAAACUGGGGCUAAUACCGGAUAGGAGCUCCUGCUGCAUGGUGGGGGUUGGAAAGUUUCGGCGGUUGGGGAUGGACUCGCGGCUUAUCAGCUUGUUGGUGGGGUAGUGGCUUACCAAGGCUUUGACGGGUAGCCGGCCUGAGAGGGUGACCGGCCACAUUGGGACUGAGAUACGGCCCAGACUCCUACGGGAGGCAGCAGUGGGGAAUAUUGCACAAUGGGCGGAAGCCUGAUGCAGCAACGCCGCGUGCGGGAUGACGGCCUUCGGGUUGUAAACCGCUUUCGCCUGUGACGAAGCGUGAGUGACGGUAAUGGGUAAAGAAGCACCGGCUAACUACGU
rnacentral:rRNA from 1 species